GUGUCAGCAGCCGCGGUAAGACAGAGGGUGCGAACGUUGCUCGGAGUUACUGGGCGUAAAGCGCGUGCAGGCGGCGCCGCACGUCGGGUGUGAAAGCCCGGGGCUCAACCCCGGAAGCGCAUCCGAUACGACGGCGCUUGAGUAUGGGAGAGGAGCGCGGAAUUCCCGGUGUAGAGGUGAAAUUCGUAGAUAUCGGGAGGAACACCAGUGGCGCAGGCGGCGCUCUGGACCAUAACUGACGCUGAGACGCGAAAGCGUGGGUAGCAAACAGGAUUAGAAACCCUCGUAGUCC
rnacentral:rRNA from 1 species